rnacentral:rRNA from 1 species
UACGGAGGGUGCAAGCGUUAUCCGGAUUCACUGGGUUUAAAGGGUGCGUAGGUGGGCAGGUAGGUCAGUGGUGAAAUCUCUGGGCUUAACUCAGAAACUGCCAUUGAUACUAUCUUUCUUGAAUACCGUGGAGGUCAGCGGAAUAUGUCAUGUAGCGGUGAAAUGCUUAGAUAUGACAUAGAACACCAAUUGCGAAGGCAGCUGGCUACACGAAUAUUGACACUGAUGCACGAAGGCGUGGGGAUCAAACAGG